UUUGUGAUCUUUCUUUAUGAUUUAGGCAGGCCCCAAAAUCCAUUAGAUCUGAACAAGAAACACUAGUGGAGUUCUGUAUGUUUGGCAUUGUUCUCUGACUUACGUAGUGAAUGAAUAGCAGAGACACCAAAGAGUAUCCAUGUCUUUGUCAAUGCUCAACAAACCGUGUUGAGAUUGUGUCUCUUUGACAGAUGGGAAAUUAUUUUGGUGGGAAGAAGAAUGACUGAAUCAGUGAUUUUUUUGUUUGUUAAGAUGUUUGUAGCAUGCUAGUUGAAAAUCAGGGAUUUAGCCACACGACAGUAACCUUUUCAGACUGCUUCUGUCCCCCUUGGUGACAAACUGAUUUUAGUUCACAAGUACUUCACAGGUAUCUCAGAGGCCUCUGGAGCCCCCAUUAGUAAAGAGCCUUGAAGCCUCUUUUCUAGAGCCGACGCUUAAGGGUAUGUAUCCCCAGCUUUUUUCCAGAGCUUAGGGCAAUGAUCAAUUCAAACACUUUAUGUGUGGUUACAAGAACACACGUAUAUAAGUAUAUACUGGCAUCUGAGAAUGUUUGUAUUGUUUCUGUGUAAAUGAUUCCCUUCCUUAAACCUCCCUUGCUGCAUAAAAAUGUUUUGACCAAAAAUGUUCAUAUGAUGAACUUGAUAUAGAUGUUGCCUAAGAUUAAAAUUUUAAGGAUGAAUAAUGAUGUGAUAGGUGGUUGUCAUUUAUUGUUUGCUUACUGUAUGCCAGGCACUGUGCAUUUCACAUUCAUUACCAUUUACAGGUAUCUCAUUUUAAUAUCUGACAACAAUCCUAUAAAGGAGGGACUAUUAUUGUGCCCAUUUUGCAGAUAAUGUAACUGAGGCUUAGAAGGAUUAGGCAACUUCUCCAGCCUCAACUUAACUAGGAAGUGCUAGAACUAAAACUCAAAUCCGUGUCACAUGACCAGAAAGAUUUCUCUUCACCAACACUGUGCAAUUCUAUCUCACCAGGUCGUCUUCCUUCUGCCUAGGAACCAACUCCCUCACUUCCAGCAGGUACAGCAUAAGUAUCCUGAUUUUGGGCUCAGUGCUCACCAUCAUCCUUUUACCCCCGAAACACUGAGGAAAUAAGAGCUUGCUGCAUGAGGCAAUGGGACCAUUUAAUGAGUCUGCCUAAAGAAGACCUCUAUGAAAGAAGCACGCACUUCAGGCUGGUGGCUUUAUUAUCUUUAUUAAUAUAUUCAGUGUCCUCUCCCUGGUUCUUUGCAUAAAGAUGAUGGGAGAGACAUCUGCUCCAAAGCUGUUCCACUGAAUGGCGAGUUUGAUG
rnacentral:lncRNA from 1 species